rnacentral:rRNA from 1 species
UACGGAGGGUGCAAGCGUUGCUCGGAAUUAUUGGGCGUAAAGGGUAGGUAGGUGGUCUCGUUUGUCUGGGGUGAAAACUCGGGGCUUAACCCCGGGCCUGCAGUGGGUACGGGCAGACUAGAGUGCGGUAGGGGGAGACUGGAAUUCCUGGUGUAGCGGUGAAAUGCGCAGAUAUCAGGAGGAACACCGGUGGCGAAGGCAGGGUCUCUGGGCAUUAACUGACGCUGAGGAGCGAAAGCAUGGGGAGCGAACAGG